rnacentral:rRNA from 1 species
CGCGGCCUAUCAGCUUGUUGGUGGGGUAAUGGCCUACCAAGGCGACGACGGGUAGCCGGCCUGAGAGCGUGGCCAACCACACUGGGACUGAGACACGGCCCAGACUCCUACGGGAGGCAGCAGUGGGGAAUAUUGGACAAUGGGCGAAAGCCUGAUCCAGCAACGCCGCGUGAGGGAUGACGGCCUUCGGGUUGUAAACCUCUUUCAGCAGGGGAGAAGGCCUUCGGGUUGACGGUACCUGCAGAAGAAGCGCCGGCUAACUACGUGCCAGCAGCCGCGGUAAUACGUAGGGCGCAAGCGUUGUCCGGAAUUAUUGGGCGUAAAGAGCUCGUAGGCGGUUUGUCGCGUCUGCUGUGAAAACGCGAGGCUCAACCUCGCGCCUGCAGUGGGUACGGGCAGACUAGAGUGCGGUAGGGGAGACUGGAAUUCCUGGUGUAGCGGUGGAAUGCGCAGAUAUCAGGAGGAACACCGGUGGCGAAGGCGGGUCUCUGGGCCGUUACUGACGCUGAGGAGCGAAAGCAUGGGGAGCGAACAGGAUUAGAUACCCUGGUAGUCCAUGCCGUAAACGUUGGGCACUAGGUGUGGGACCCAUUCCACGGGUUCCGUGCCGCAGCAAACGCAUUAAGUGCCCCGCCUGGGGAGUACGG